UUAGUGAAAACAAUUGGUAUCUGCUCCAGGAUCGAUUUGUGGUCUAGUCUUUUUACGAAGUUUGAACUACAAGGCCACAAAUCCGAGCUUUCAAUCAAAAUUUUUCGUUUUUAAACGUCUUUAAAAAACUUAAAUUCUCAAUUAUGUGAAGGCCGGAGAAACAGUUUUACGAUUAACUCAAUUCAUUACAAGAGGUUUCCGUGAAAAAACCGUGGCUGAUGUCACCGUAUUCUUGAAUCACAAAAUAUUUCAGGCGUAUAAAAACAAGUCUACUAUAAAUUUACAGCUCCGCGGCGCGGCUCGACUCAAACACUCGUCUUUGUGUGCGUCUUCUGUGACGCGGGCACAAGCGACCUAUCGAAUGGCGAAUACAAUUAUUUAUUUUACAUUGUAUUUGAACUGCGAACCCACGUUCCUAUUCUAUGAAGCAACGCGUCCUGAACGAUCAGCCAACAUCUUCAGAUCUGUUAACGAAUGUACGACCACUGUCGUAUCGUCGACGAAACAUCUCAGUAAUAUUAUUUGCAGCGACUUUAUAAUGAAGACUAGCGGCCCGCUCCGGCUCCGCUCAGGUCAACAAAAAUUUCAUGGAUA